AUAUCAGGUCAAGAGGAUGUGUCCUACAAUAUCCAUGAUAGGAGGGUGUUUGCCCCCCUUUGGCCAUGCAUCGUGGGCAUCGAUGACAACUGCCAAUACACAACAACCCAGAGUCCAGAACCAGAUCCUGAGGACAAACAUCCUUCUGCAUCAAGGUCAACUUUUGUUUCUUUUCAAAGGGCCACAUUUUUGCCCCUUGCUAUGUCUAUAUUUGUCCCUCUCUCACAGUGCUGAAUACAUGCUAAAUGUAAUAACAUUGUCCAGGUCCUUUCUCAUGUUCAGACAGACUAUAUCCCACUACCUAAACUUGCGGUCAGCCUACAGCUAAUUCAUCCCUGCAACAGACUGAGCUGACCACCAUGCACUCUGAGGAUGGAUCUACGGUCGACGACAUCUUCUACUCCAAGGCUGGGCAAUUCUGGUGCUGAUCAGAAAGGGGCAUAUAUCCAAAAUAAUUACAUAAAUAACCUUUGAUAUUGACCUUGAGUCUAGUUAGUAUAUAGAGAAAGAAGAAUUGAGCUAUGGCUUAACAAAAAAAUUGUUUCAGGUGGAGGUCAACGGCAGAGCGGAGGUUUGAAGCUGCUUGGUCGUCUCUCCCCCCAAUUAGAGGAGGAUCUCUGGUCAAUGAAAGGUUUACCCAAUUAAUUGUUCCCUUCGGACCAUCUCAGUCUCCUGGCCAGGUUCCAGCUGGACUGAAACCCUGUGUAAUUUGGGCUGUUUGUGAUCAAUUAAUAAUCAGGAGGACCGAGGUCAAGUAUUUAAAAAUGUUUGUUCAAACUGUACAUGAUUUUCCCAUGGUGUGAUUCCAUGUUUUAUAAGUUCAUAAUUGUACUUAAUUGGUUCCUUGGGCUCACAUGGUUGUUUCCUACCUGAAGAGAAACUACUCAUCCCAAGGUCCAGAGGGGAUGGGAUGUCCUCUGAAGAAUUGUUUUUGUUUACAUGAAGAGAGAGCAAAACAAACCAAAAAGGUUGAAUUUAGUUCAAAGUUGGAAUUUAUUUGACAAAUUCUCUUACUGUUGAGAUUUGAAUGCAUGAAGCUUUUAGAUUUUAAAAGUUAAUAUUUUGUGAACAAACUGAGUAAACAAUCUGCUACACUAGUAAAUUAGAACAUUUAAAUCUUUACAAACUGUGUUUGAUGCGUUUUGUCCCUCUGGCUUUGGGCCAGUCGUAGUAUUAUUUUUCAAAUGAUAGAAAUAUUGAAUUCAUAUUUUCCAUAUACCAAUAUCAGUUUGGCAGUAUUUUGGGAAGAUCUACAUCCUGUCUUGCCUGGCUGAGAUGGUGUUAAUCCGUGACAAGGACUGACGAGUUGUGCGUUCCGAGAUGCUGUUCUGCACACCACUUAUGUACUGCGCCAUUAUUUGCCUGUUUGUGGCCCACCUGUUAGCUUGCACAAUUCUUGCCAUUCUCCAAUUUUUUUGUUGGUCGCACCAUUCUCGGUAAACCCUAGACAAUGUCGUGCAUGAAAACCCCAGGAGGCUAGCCGUUUCUGAGAUACUGGAACAGAUGCGCCUGGCACCGACGAGCAUACCACGCUCAAAGUCGCUGAGGUCACUUGUUUUGCCCAUCCUAACGUUCAGUAGAACAGUAACUGAAUGCCUCAAUGCCUGUCUGCUUUUUUAUAGCAGGCCACGUGACUCACUGUCUGUAGGCGCAAACCAUUUUUGUGUACCUAAUAAACUGGCCACAGUGUAUAUUUCCACACUAUGAGGUUGGAAUAAUACUGUGAAAAUGAUAAUGCCCUUUUAGUGUAAGAGCUGAAAUGUCAGCCUGUUUAGAUGGGAUGGAGUUUCGGCCUGCCUGGUGACAUCACCAUGCUGUAAAUUAGAUAAUACAUAGACCAU
ensembl:lncRNA